UUAAUAUGGGACGGUCAUUCUAACUUUAGGUUGCAUUUGAUUCGGGUAUAAAUAACAACUAUUUAUUUUAAAAAUAGAUACAAAUUCAGAUAUAAGCAACAACUAUACUAAUUUUACGUUUGGAUGAAAAUUAGGUUGUUCAUAAGAAUAAACUAAAUAGUAUUUGGAUGGUUAGAUUGAAACAAAGGAAAUAAGAGUUAUAAUUUUAAAUUAAAAUUAUUUUAUCUAAUUAAUUAAUAUCAAAAUAUAAUUUAAAAAUAAUUUAAUAAAUUUAUUAAAUUAAUAAAUUUAUUAGCUAUGAAUAUUGUCUAAAAUAAUAAAAAUAUAUUAAUUAAUUAAUUAAAUAUAAAAAUAAUUUAAUUUUUUAAUUAGUUAGUAAAUUAUUUUAGCCAAAAACUAGUAAAAGAGUUAAUUAGAUUAAUAUAAAUAUUAGUGCUUUAUCAAUAUAAGUAUUAGUUCAUGAAAAAAUGCAUUUAAAUUAUUAAUAAUUAAUUAUAAAUAAUAAAUUAAUUAAUUAUUUUAUGAUUUAAGCAAUAAAUAAUAAUUUAAAUAUUUAAUUAGAUUAUGGAAUAGACAUUUUGUAUGUACUGGAACCCCUCGAGAUUUUUAUAUAUAUAUGUUUUCAGUUUAGUAGGACUUUACCUUGUGGCUGUAGUUUGGCUUUAUUUACAGGUACAACUAUCGCUUCGUAUACAGAAAAAAUUUUUAUGUCUACCAUGGGUCUGUUGGCGUGUCCGGAAAAACGUGUAAUUCGGGACGUGACAGAUUAAAUUGGUAUCAAAGCUUAGAAUUAGGUCGUUGGGACUUAGAAACCAUAAACUUGGCAAACCUUAAGAAGGCAAGACGCGAGAGGUAUGAUUUUUUGCGAAAAUCAGCGAUUGAAUUGUUUUAACUCCUAGAGUAGAGUGAGUGACUGAAGGAGUGUCUGUUUCGGCCAAGAAAACUAUAUCGGCUGCAGACGGCAUAAUUUUGAGGAGAAAUAGGGGCGGCCUUCUAGACUUUCGUUUGAUUGGGUCGAGAGUUGAUUGUGUUUUGUAUCUG
rnacentral:lncRNA from 1 species